GGGGGCUUUGGGGAGAAAAAGGAAAAAAAUAAAGUCUUUAAAAAAAUAAAUAAAUAAAUAAACCCAAACAUUUCCUUAUACAUUUCUCAGAAAUGGAGAUAAAAGCUAAUUGUUCUUGAACUGGGCUGACAGGGAUUCUCUCUUAUGACACUGGAAUUUCUAAAACUUGAUGACAAUGGACUCGGAAUACAGUCAACCCUAGGAAGCCACUUGAAUCAGCGUCCACUCCCGCGUGAGGAGGCAACUCACUGCAGGGUCCUUCUCAUCUUUAUUUAGACUAAGCGAUGCUGAAAGGGAAGAGUCUGUGACAGUCUAAGAAAAAAGGAAAGCAGAGAAAGUGAGAAAAAUCGAAGAAUUAGAGUCACUUUAACAAAAGAGCUCCUGUUAACCAAUUAGGUCACCGCUAUAACCUUAGACACACAGCCCAUCACCAAGGAACGUGCCCCCGCACACUGAGGGCUCCUGAAGGGUCGGGACCUGUCCCCUCACCGAGCCUUCCUCCUCUGCUGGCACAGAGCCCCGACGCGGUGAAAGCUCAAUAAAUGACUGCUGAACAG